GACGAACGCUGGCGGCGUGCCUAAUACAUGCAAGUUGAGCGCUGAAGGUUGGUACUUGUACCAACUGGAUGAGCAGCGAACGGGUGAGUAACGCGUGGGGAAUCUGCCUUUGAGCGGGGGACAACAUUUGGAAACGAAUGCUAAUACCGCAUAAAAACUUUAAACACAAGUUUUAAGUUUGAAAGAUGCAAUUGCAUCACUCAAAGAUGAUCCCGCGUUGUAUUAGCUAGUUGGUGAGGUAAAGGCUCACCAAGGCGAUGAUACAUAGCCGACCUGAGAGGGUGAUCGGCCACAUUGGGACUGAGACGCGGCCCAAACUCCUACGGGAGGCAGCAGUAGGGAACCUUCGGCAAUGGACGAAAGUCUGACCGAGCAACGCCGCGUGAGUGAAGAAGGUUUUCGGAUCGUAAAACUCUGUUGGUAGAGAAGAACGUUGGUGAGAGUGGAAAGCUCAUCAAGUGACGGUAACUACCCAGAAAGGGACGGCUAACUACGUG
rnacentral:rRNA from 1 species